UCCUAGAGUGAAAAGAUGAAGGAAGAAGGAGCAGGAGUUAGAAUGCAAGUCUCUUAGGACAAAUGACUUCAUAUUAUGAGGAGGGAAUUAAGGGAAAGGGAAGUGACUUGUCCACAGUCACGCAACACAGUAGGAGCAGAGUCCAGGAGAAGUCCUGGUGCCUUGAAUCCCAGGACCCUCAUGUAGUGAGCCGUCACACAUCUGAGUAGGCAAAGAGGUCUUGGAGAAGGAUGUGGACAUUUCUAAGAGUCCCUGGGAUCACUCACCUUAUGGCAGAUGCACAGCUUGCAGGCCCAGGUGACACCAUUACCCCAGACAUGUGCCUGAUAUUUGACCCUGGGCCUCAUAACAUCAUUGCAACAGGUUCCUGGGCCCAAGGGGGCCAAGUGACUCAAGGACACUAUUACAGGCUAAACUGCAUGCUCCCCAAAUUAAUACACUGAACCCUUGACCCGCCUCCCCCCUCACUCCAGUACUUCAGAAUCAGUAUUUAGAGAAAGGGGCCUUUAACGAGGUUGUUGAGUUAAAAUGAGGCCCUUAGAAUGGUCCCUAAUGCAAUGUGACUGGUGUCCUUCUAAGAAGAGAAAAUCUGGACAUACAAAGAGACACCAGGGAUGGGUGCACAGAGGAAUGGCCACAUGAAGGCACAGCAAGAAGGUGGUCAUCUGCAAGCCAAGGAGAGAGGCCUCAGCAAAAACCAAGCCUACCAACAUCUUGAUCUUGGACUUCUAGCUUCCAGAGCUAUAAGAAAAUAAAUUUCUCUAUUUAAACUACCCUCUCUGUGGUAUUUUGUUAUAGCAGUUCCAGCAAAGUUAAGACACCAAGUGCUAUGGAGAGCAGUUACAAGUGAGUGACAAUCAACACAAAGAGAAAGCAAAGGAAUAAGGAGGGGUGAGGUGAGGGAACUGAGGGUGAAAAUGGGGCAGGGCAAAACUAAAUAUAGAACUACUGUGCAAUCCAGCAAUCCCUCUCCUGGGAAUAUAUCUGGACAAAACUAUAAUUCAAAAAAAAAAAAAACACUCUAUAAUUCAUGCACCCCUAUAUGUUCAUAGCAGCACUAUUCACAAGAGCCAAAAACAUGGAGACAACCUAAGUGUCCAUCAGAAGAUGUGGUACACAUAUACACUGGAAUACUACUCAGCCAUAAAAAAAAAUAAUGCCAUUUGCGACAAGAUGGAUGCAACUAGAGAUUCCUAUACUAAGUGAAGUAAGUCAGAAAGACAAAUACCAUAUGAUAUCACUUAAGUGGAAUCUAAAAUAUGGCACAAAUGAACUGAGCUACAAAACAGAAACAGACUCACAGACAUAGAGAACAGACGUGUGGUUGCCAAGGAGGGGGCAGGCAGAGGGAAUGGGAUGAACGGGGAGUUUGGAAUUGGCAAGUGCAAACUAUUACAUUUAGAAUGGAUAAGUAAUGAGGUCCUACUGUACAGCACAGUGAACUCUAUCCAAUCACUUGGGAUAGAACAUGAUGGAAGAUAUUAUGAGAAAAAUGUAUAUAAAUGUAUGAUUGAGUUGAUAUGCUGUAUGGGAGAAACUGACACAACACUUAAAUCAACCACACUUUAAUAAAGAUAAAAUAAUACAAAAAAGAAACAAAAUAGGGCGGGGAAGGGGGAGGAGUUUGAAUGUGGCCAGAGUGGAGAUAGUCAAGCCAGAAAACCCAUUUUCUAUAGUAAUCAUCCAGUUUGUCUGAAUAUCUUAAAAUUUGAUUUUCAGCAAUGAGGUAUGUGCAUAUGGUCACAAAAUUAAAUAGUUCAGAGAACUUAUAAUAAUAGCAACUGCCUUCUCCCUAAAUAUCCACCCCCACCCCCCAACCCCAUCCUGUUCCCCAGAGACCAACCUUUUUUAUACUGUUUUUACUUUUAGCCCUGGAUAACAUUUACUGACUGCUUGCCAUGUGCCAAGCCCUGUGCUAAACCUUUUAUGUACGUUGUUUCUGUGGAUGCUCACCACAACCCCGUGAGGUAGGUACCAUCAUUAACAUUUUACAGGUAGGAGAACUAAGAUGUAGAGAAGUUAAGUGAUACAACCAAGGUCACACAGUAGGUAAGCAAUAGAAGUGAAAUUUCAUCUCACGACAUUGGACUCCAACACUUGACUGCUCUGAGUCAUCCUCUGGUGGUUCCUGUUAAAGCUUUAUUCCCUGGGCUCCUUGAUUUAUCAACUCUACACAGUAUCUAUUGACUUCUUAGUAUGACUGAUGAGGAUUUACCUCACCCCUUUGCCUUUUGCCUGCAAAUCCUAGACAGACACAUUGCAAUAUUUAGUUCUGCUGUGGGUACCUUUGGGGCUUUAAAUAACACUCAUUAACUUCAAUCCCUUGUUUCUACUCUACAAACAUUUAUUGAUGGACUUGUGGGGUCACUUGCAAGUUGGGUGAUGGAAAAGCCAAUCCAAAUUUUCUUCUUAUCCUUUCCCAUUUCCCUUAGCACCCAGCAGGUGCUUAAUGAAUAUUUAUGAAUAGAGUCAAAGCAGAGAAAUUUAGCACCAAAGGCGGGAGAUGACCAGGAAAUCUCAGUUAGGGGAAGGACAUGAUAACUGCAGCCUGAGAUGUCAGCCUGACUUCUUUGGAGACACAGCCUCCUGCUGAGGAGGGAACAAGGAGCUAUAAAAUGGAAAUUGAAGAAGAAUCGCUUCAGAGCAGCUGUCAGGAAGCACUUCCCAGUGGAGAUCGCGAUGACCUCCUUGCUGCAAGGUUGUCUCCGCUCACACACCUGGUUCUAUUCUGCCAGCUUGUGCGAAGCCACCACGGCACUCACACAGGCCUCUGGCCAUCUGCCCCUCAUGGGAAGCAUGAGGUGUUCUGCUAGUACCAGCUCCACGGUGGGCUUUCUGAAAAGGGAUACAUCCUGGGGAGGCUUCUCCCACAGACUGCAGAAUCUGGGCAUACCUGUGAAGAGCCCAACAGGUGAAGAAAAGGCCACCUGCCCUAAGGCCUUUGAUGCUCACCUUCUGACUGUAGCACCCUCCCUUUUAGCCUAGCUAUNUUUUUUUUUUUUUUUUUUUUUUUGUCUUUUUAGGGCCAUACCCACAGCAUAUGGAAGUUCCCAGAAAAGGGGCCAGCAGCUGCCGGCCUUCACACAGUCACAGCAACACUCACGGCAACACCAGAUCUUUUACCCGCUGAGCAGGGCCAUGUCCUCAUGGAUACCAGUUGGGUUUGUUAUUGCUGAGCCACAAAGGGAACUGUGAGCCUAGCUAGUUUUUAUACUUGGUACCUUGGGCAGAGGACAUAUCAUAGGGAAGACUCCCAGAUGCUCUAGGCUGGGACACAUCCCUUAUGACACAUUCUGUAAGUACUUUCCCUCCAUAGCACUUAGCACAGCUGUAAUUUUACUUUUACUAGAGUCAUUUCUUACAUAAAAUCAGCCUCGCCCACUGGAUGGGGACCAUCUCUGCUUACUAUUGUAUUCCCAGCACCUAGCAGGUACUCAGUAAGCAAUCUUGAAUGAAUGUGUCUUCAUUAAAUCCCUUAAAUCAAAUGGUUCUUUUAUGGAACUCCUCAAAAUCCCGCAUCUCUUUUGCACCUAGAAAGAGAGGAUGGAGCUUUCAGGUUAUAACCGUGCUAGUCCAGAAUUGUGAUUUGCCUUCAGAAAACGCAGUGACUCUCAGAUGACUCACACGGACUGAGGGACGUCUCCCCUCCCCCAACACACACGCAGGAUUCCUCCUCUCCAUCACGCCUGCCCUCCUCUGUCAAUCUGUCACCAAGCCUGGUCUCUUCACCUCCUACCUCAGUGAUUCUCAGCCCUGGCUGCGGCUGACUGGCCAGGGAACCUUGUUAAACAUACAAUGCUUGAGUUUCUUUCUUUUCUUCCUUCCUUCCUCCCUCCGCUCCUUCCUUCCUUCUUCUUCUUCUUUUUUUUUUUUUUUUUUUUUUUUUUUUUUUUUUUGCCUUUUAGGACCGCCCCUGCGGCAUAUGGAAGUUCCCAGACUCAGGGUCUAAUCAGAGCUAUAGCCACUAGCCUAUGCCACAGCCACAGCAAUGCCAGAUCUGAGCUGCAUCUGCAACCUACACCACAGCUCAUGGCAAUGCUAGAUCCUUAACCCACCGAGCGAGGCCAGGGAUACUGGUUGGGUUCAUUUCUGCUGAGCCAUGACGGGAACCCCAAUGCUUGAGUUUCUGACUCAAGGACAGCAGUCUCCUCACUGGCCUCUUGGGGCUCCAGGCCUGGGGUCCCCAAUCCAUUCACGGUGAAGCAGCCUGCCAGAGAGAUCUUUCCAGCGGGAAAGCCUAGUCAUGCUACGCUUCUCCUUAAAACUUCCCCCUGCAUCCCACUGUCUUCAGGACAAACCCCCGCCUUUUGGAGAGCCUCCCAAAGCCCUGCUCAUUUCCCCAGGCUCACACCAUGUUGGUCCUUAUUCACCUCACUCACACUCUGCUCUAACAUACGGGACAUCCUAAGGGCCAGAACAGACUGGGCCACGUUCUUUCAUUCCUCGGAGUCUCUACACAACUGUUGCCCUGUCCAGUGUUAAAGAAAAAUUUAUUCUGACACUUGUUAAACUGGUACAGAAGACUUUAUUCAGGAUUCCUGCAGUAGGGGUAUUGCAACGGGAGUGAGAGCUGAGCUCCACUUAGGAUGCAAUAGAUAGCUGGGAAUUUAGACAAUAAACAGAGUGAAGGGUUCGAGAGAUGGAAAAUUACUAAGAGAAGGCUCCAAGGGUGGGGGGAUUCUUGCUAAACUGGCCUAGCAGAAUUCCCCCUAAAGUUAGGCUACCAGCUUAGACAUCAAGGGUGAGGGAUGAGGAAUUUGAUCAAAUCUCAAGGGUGAGGGGGUGACUUAGCAGGAUUCUUGGCUAAGACUGGGUUGGGUGGACCAAAGAUAGAAUGGGGGCCAAGGUCAUGGCCCAGCUGGGAAGAGGGCUAAGAGGAGUCUGUCAAAAGUUUGGUCAAGGAGCAAGCCUUUAAAAAAAAAAAAAAAAAA
rnacentral:lncRNA from 1 species